UCCGGGCACGUGUCUGGGGGGUCCCGGUGCGUGGGCAGGAUGGGGGGGGUGGUCCCCGAUGCCCGUUUGUGUUGUGUGCUCAAGGCUGGGGAUUCCCGGGGUGUGAGCAAUGGGAUGGGGCAUUCCCGGUGCUGGUGCUGGGCUGAGCUCAAGAACCACGGCCAGAAUCCACCCGGGUCCCCCCAGGACGGGCACUGGGUAGUGGGGGGUCUUACCCCAGCACAGGGGGGAGACCCCCGGGCAGUGCCGGCUCUGCCCAGAGCCCCUUACCGGGUCACCGGUGCCAUGAUGUCCCCGUCACCGUCCCCUCGUGUCCCGCAGACGGGCGAGGCCGUGCAGGCUCUGCUGCAGCGGCUGCAGGUGCUCCAGGGCGAGAGGGUCGAAACCUACCGGCUCUUCGAGGAGGGCCACCAGGCGUACCUGAGCAGUGCCCCCCACUAUGACUUCCCGCGGUACCGGCAGCUGGUGCACGAGGUCACCGUGGCCUUCAGCGGCAUCUCCCGGGAGGUGCUGGGCAUCGCCGGGCGCCUGCGGGACGAGCUGGGCCGCCCUGACCUGGCCCAGCACCUGGCCCGGCUCCAGGAACGGGAGCAGGAGAAGCUGCAGCUGACGGCGCAGCUCCAGCUGGCCCGGCAGCAGGCACAGGACCAGCCCGAGGUGGACGUCCAUCAGCAGGAGGUGCAGGAGCUCAAGCACAAGCUAAUUAAAACCAUUGAGGCAAUCAGCGAAAUUCUCCAGGACCUCAAGUACGAUUCGGAAGAAGUUGAGUGAUGGGUGUCCCCGUGGGAACGGCUGGAGGGGCCGGCUGGUGGAAUGGGGGCCCCGCUCGCCCCCCACCCGCUCCCGGUGCAGCCGCCCAGGCACCUUGGCAAGCCACACGCGCCACUGGUCGUAGAGCUUGAUGCCGAGGUUGGAGCAGCCGUAGGCGUGUUUCUUCACCCACCCGAAGAACUGCUUCAGCUCCCGCCGCAGCGUCGUGUUCUGCUCCCCACCUUUGGGGUCGCAGCCCCCCGCCCCUCGCUCUGCGGGGACAAGGGGAUGCCGAAGGGAUUACAGCGCACCUGGACGAAGUAGACGGUGCCGGGGCGCAGGCCGGCCAGGCGGCAGGACGUCUGGUUGCCCACGUCAUCCACCACCUGGGGAGGGAGGAGACCAUGGGAGCACCCGCACGGGGUCGGCGAUCCCGCGCCAGCACCGGCGAUGCCGACCCACCUUCCACUCCGAGCUGUCCUCCACCCGGUACUGGAUCUGGUACUUGGCUUGGAAGAGGAAAUCCUUGAGGGCCGGCGGGGAGCUCCAGCGCACGCUCAGCUGGUCCUCCAGGUCCCCCACGCGGCUGACGUGCACGUCCGACGGCGGGUCGGUGGUGACUGCGGGGACAGGGCAGCGCCGCGGGGCCGCGGGGGUUAAGGAGCCGCAGAUGUAAAACCCACUCGGAGCAAACAGCCUAAUUCGAUUAGGAGCAAUUCUGCUCACAUAUCGCCCAUUUCCUGCUGCCCCCCCCCUUCCGCCCCAUCCCGGCGCUGAACCCUCCUCCCGCUCCCCUCCCGCUCCCCGCGGGGUCACCGGUGACACGGUGACGCGCCCGGCGUGGCUCACCCACGUUGAGGAUGUCCAACAUGACGACGUCGGACACGGCCACCCCCAGCCGGUUGGACGCCUCCACCCAGAUCUCGUAGGGCGUGAAGAGGGCCAGGUCCUUGGGGAUGCGGCAGGAGUAGGGCCCGGCCGUGUGAUAUUCCUGGCAGGUGUUGUCCCGGCCGUACCACCUGCGGGCAGGGCGUGAGCGCCGGCACCGGCAGUGCCGGGAGCUGUGGGUGCUCACCCGUCCCCGGAGGAGCCGCUCCCACGGCCCGUUUAUCUGCCAUUCCACGCUGCUGGAAUUGUGUUACCAGCCCCACGGCUCACCCGGCGGUGCCAACUCAACCAGGGCCACGGCGGCUUCUCACCCUCCUCCUCCUCCUCCCCAGCACCGUGAGACCCAAAAAACUCCUCACGGCAGCACCACCCCCAAACAGGGCUCAGCCAGGAGGCCUUGGGCACCACAUUCCCUGUUUCCCAUUAAAUCCCACACCGGUGUUUUUAACAAUAACCGGAAUUAAGGUGAACACCCACCUGAGCUUGUACUUGAGGGUGUAGUUGGUGUGCAAGAAGGUCUCUCCUUCUGUCCCCGGCGCCCACUUGCAGGUCAGGUCCUUCAUGUUUUUGGACCAGCAAGUGAUGUUGACUGGUUUUUCUGGGGGUACUGGGAGACAAAAAAACAAAAACAAGAAUUUCCAGAGCCCGUUUUUUUUUCCAGCCACGGCAACCCAAACCCCAAACCCGAGCCGCAUUCCCAUCUAAGCCUCUGUAUUCCCCGGGACGUAGCGACCCAAAAAAAAAACAAAUCCAAGAGCCGCAUUCCCCGUCCCGAUCCUGUGUUCCCGGGGCGUCAGCGUCGUCCUCUCAUUUUAAAAAUAGCCCCGGAGAUAAAAAUCUUACGAUUAUUGAUUCGGACAAGCGCGGGGGGGUUUUUUUGCCAAAAACAGCCCUCUCUCCCGGCGUGGGGAGCUCCAAGUGGAGCGGCUUUGGUGAGAACCAAGGGGGGCAUCCCGGGGAGCCCCGCGAGGGGAGCCGGGGGGGACGCGACCGCCGCGCCGACGACGUACGUCCAACGUAAAGGCAGGAGCCGGCCAAGAUGCCGCCGUCUCUGCUGUGACACACCAGGUUGUCCCCCGACUGCUGCCUGGAGCCGUUGAGGCGGGCGAGGGCCACGCUGAGCGUGGAGGGCCCGAGGGCGGCGUAGGAGGCGGCGGGAAGGCGCCGCCCGUUCAGGGUCCAGUACAGGUCCUCGGCUUUCAGCGGAAAGUCCGGGCUGACCGUGCACGUGGCGACCAGCGAGGAGCCGAUCAGCAGGGUGGGGUCUUGGGGGGAAAUCACGGCGGGGUCUGCAGCCGGAGA